UUUUUUUUUGUUACGAAAAAGGGAGGUGGAAAGUCAGUGCCAAAUGCAUGGCAAUCCUUGGUCGAGCUUAUUUAUGAUUUCGUGCUGAACCUGGUAAACGAACAAACAGGUGGUCUUUCCGGAAAUGUGAAACAAAAGUAA
rnacentral:rRNA from 1 species